rnacentral:rRNA from 1 species
UACAGAGGUCCCAAGCGUUGUUCGGAUUCACUGGGCGUAAAGGGUGCGCAGGUGGGUUGGCAAGUUCGAUGUGAAAGCCCCGGGCUUAACCCGGGAAUGGCAUUGGAUACUGUUGAUCUGGAGGGUCGGAGGGGGGACUGGAAUUCUUGGUGAAGCAGUGAAAUGCGUAGAUAUCAAGAGGAACACCAGUGGCGAAGGCGAGUCCCUGGACGAUACCUGACACUGAGGCACGAAAGCCAAGGGAGCAAACAGG